UUUGUUGAGGGAAGAUGCCUUUUCGCCGACCUUGUGGUUCUAGAUUUGACAGAUUUUGACGUCAUUCUAGGGAUGGACUGGUUAUCUACCCAUGGUGCUACCUUGGACUGCAGGGACAAGGUAGUCAGGUUCAGAGGUCAGGAUGGGUCAGAGGUUGUCUUCAAGGGAGACAGGAGGGGUACACCUAGAGGUCUGAUAUCAGCUCUUCAGGCU
rnacentral:lncRNA from 1 species